CGUGACGCAGCUAACGCAUUAAGUUCCCCGCCUGGGGAGUACGGCCGCAAGGCUAAAACUCAAAGGAAUUGACGGGGACCCGCACAAGCGGCGGAGCAUGCGGAUUAAUUCGAUGCAACGCGAAGAACCUUACCAAGGCUUGACAUAUACGAGAACGGGCCAGAAAUGGUCAACUCUUUGGACACUCGUAAACAGGUGGUGCAUGGUUGUCGUCAGCUCGUGUCGUGAGAUGUUGGGUUAAGUCCCGCAACGAGCGCAACCCUCGUUCUAUGUUGCCAGCACGUAAUGGUGGGAACUCAUGGGAUACUGCCGGGGUCAACUCGGAGGAAGGUGGGGAUGACGUCAAAUCAUCAUGCCCCUUAUGUCUUGGGCUUCACGCAUGCUACAAUGGCCGGUACAAUGGGCUGCAAUACCGUGAGGUGGAGCGAAUCCCAAAAAGCCGGUCCCAGUUCGGAUUGAGGUCUGCAACUCGACCUCAUGAAGUCGGAGUCGCUAGUAAUCGCAGAUCAGCAACGCUGCGGUGAAUACGUUCCCGGGUCUUGUACACACCGCCCGUCAAGUCAUGAAAGUCGGUAACACCUGAAGCCGGUGGCCUAACCCCUCGGGGAGGGAG
rnacentral:rRNA from 1 species